rnacentral:rRNA from 1 species
UACGUAGGGUGCGAGCGUUAAUCGGAAUUACUGGGCGUAAAGCGUGCGCAGGCGGUUCGCCAAGUCAGGUGUGAAAUCCCCGGGCUUAACCUGGGAAUUGCGCUUGAAACUAGCGGGCUUGAGUGUGGCAGAGGGGGGUGGAAUUCCACGUGUAGCAGUGAAAUGCGUAGAGAUGUGGAGGAACACCGAUGGCGAAGGCAGCCCCCUGGGUCAACACUGACGCUGAUGCGCGAAAGCUAGGGGAGCAAACGGG